GCUCUCUUCUGUCUCCUGGUUGUGCUCUCGCUCGCUCCCUCCUGCUCUCCCGGGAGCUGCCGUGCAGAAAGGUUCCGUUCCUCCCAGAAAAAGGCCCACAUGGGAACAGGAAUGUGCAGAGAUGAAAAGGCAGCAGCUGCUGAGACAGCAGGCACGGAGGGGCCCCUGUGGGGGGGGGGGAGUGGGGAUCCUGGGGACAACUGGAGCCUGAAUGGGUGAGGCGGGAGAGGGCCCCCGGGAGAGUGGAAAUCUUGCAGGAGAUAAGGAAGGGAGAGAGGGGUCCACGAGACCAUGGAGAUGAUACAGUGAGCCAGGACAGGUGGGAGCAGGAGCAUGUGGGUGGUGAUGGAACAGGAGGAGGAUGGAGCCGUGUGGGAAGACAGAGUGGGCAGCUGGGGCUAGGAGACGAAGCAAUGGGGGGCGGUGGAGAAGUGCACAGAGGGAUGGAUGGUGCAGGGGACGUGGGACAUGGACGCUGACGGAUGGACGGUGAGGGGCAGUGCGGGACGGCAUGGUGAGGUGGGACAGUGAAGGGCCCAGGUAAGGCCGUUACUUACACGUGGAUUGAGAGCGCCCGUCCUCUGUACAGGCUGAAUGCGCUGCCGUACAGGUCACUGGCCACCGAAAGGCUAUCCUCUGACCCCCAGCUUGCGCCCACCAGAUUAGCUCGAGACGCCCGUACCAGCGGCUCCACCCCCAGGACCGUCUGCCCGCUGCCCCACCAGCUCACUUGCUCCUCUGAGAGAGCUCACCCGUGGGGGUGCUGAAGGCCCCGUCAUCCCGAA